rnacentral:rRNA from 1 species
GACGAACGCUGGCGGCGUGCUUAACACAUGCAAGUCGAACGGAAAGGCCUCUUUCGGGGGGUACUCGAGUGGCGAACGGGUGAGUAACACGUGAGUAACCUGCCCUUGACUUUGGGAUAACUUCAGGAAACUGGGGCUAAUACCGGAUAGGAGCUCCUGCUGCAUGGUGGGGGUUGGAAAGUUUCGGCGGUUGGGGAUGGACUCGCGGCUUAUCAGCUUGUUGGUGGGGUAGUGGCUUACCAAGGCUUUGACGGGUAGCCGGCCUGAGAGGGUGACCGGCCACAUUGGGACUGGGAUACGGCCCAGACUCCUACGGGAGGCAGCAGUGGGGAAUAUUGCACAAUGGGUGGAAGCCUGAUGCAGCAACGCCGGGUGCGGGAUGACGGCCUUCGGGUUGUAAACCGCUUUCGCUCAUGACGAAGCUUUGUGUGACGGUAGUGGGUAAAGAAGCACCGGCUAACUACGUG